GGAAAGAGAUACUUGAAGAAUAAUUAUAUUAUUAUUCAAUAUUAUUCAUACCACUGAAACAAAACUGUGUUAUGACAUACAUUUUGAUGCAAAUCACGUUUCUCAAUUACUAUGAUCUCUUUGCAACGGAAAAUAGUGUCACUGAUAAAAAUCAAACAUCGAAUAAAGUUUUUUGAUUUUAUUAUGCCAGUAAAAUUUCAAAUGUUGAAAGAUACAAAAUAAUAGCACAUUUAUUCGCGUGUUUCUUUGAAUCAUGCAAGGAAAUAUCUAUUCAACUAUUAAUAUGUCUUUGAAAUAACCUGCUUUAGUUUAAAUAUGGAGCGUGUUUUUGUAAUAUUUCCAUUUCAUGUAGUAUAUGUUAUGAUAUAAUAAAUUGCGAAACACCGAUGGCAAAUUACUUGUUGAUCAUACAAGAAAUUACAUUAUUUUAGGUGGUAUACAGUGUUUUGACUGUCGAGAUAUUCCACAUCUUAAAUAUUGUGACAAAGUGACUAGAUGCUUAGGAAAUGAGGUUUGUUACGUUGAGAGCUACACCAAACCUCAUGGGCAGAAAAUGUUCAGGUCUGGAUGCAUAGAUAAGGGGGGAUGCCAACCAUUAAGCGGAACAAACGACUGCCUACAGUGUUGUGAGUCUAGAGACUUUUGUAACAUGGAUGGUUGUGAAAAAGAAGGUGUGUAUGAUAGAGAAAUAUGAAUGGGGGAACAAUGACUACAACUACGUUAUGGAAUGUAUACGUCCACAUGUGAUUCUUUUUUGUCAAAAUUUUAUAAUUUAGAGGUAUUGUUAUAUGUAUCAUGAAAUACAGGUAUAGGUUAAAGGGUCAAACGUCUAUCACGUCCAAUAUGAACACUCUGUAUAAGAAAUAUAUAGACUUUUUGAGAAAUGCUUAACUUUCUGUAGGAACAAAUUAGGAAUGCUUCUUUAAUUUUAUGUAAUUUCUAAGAAAAAGGUGUUAUCUUCAUUUAACUUUUAGUCCAUUUUGUUGGGUGCUAAGAAAGCGUUUGUUGCAGACUUUAUGUUAACUAAUAUAUGCUUCGU